UUGCCGAGGAGCACCCUCGACAUCCCCGCACGCGCCUUUCAAUGGCCGGCCGUGGUCAUCACCGACGCGCUCCGGCCAUCCCCGCCGCUGCAGUAGCUCUCCUCCUGGACGGCGGCACUCGAACCUGCCGUAUGGUUCGUCGGGUGGGUGCCCAACGACCAGCAGCACUGCUGGCUGCUCCUCGACCCCGUGGUGAGCGGUCACUGCGAAAACGAUGCCGGCCACCAUGCCUCAUCCAAGCUCACCAUGGGUGCUGAGCCAACACCGUCAUCUCCUCGCCACCAAAGUUCUUGAUAGGAGUUUUUGGCCUGCAGGGCCUUGCCCAUGCCGACGCCCAAGCCCGUCAGCCCCGCCCCUCGCCCUUCACAGCCGGCGAAGACGAGAUGCUCUCGGUAAAGUACGUCGGCAGGCGCCCUCUCUAGGCAAGCGCAGCUACGGCGUGAGGCAUCGCUCUGCUCGCCUACCUUGGCUCCCGCAGCGGAGAGUACCAUCGUUAGCCUCUUCCUCGAGUUCGUGUUGGGCGGCUCGCUUGCCGAUGAAGUGGAGAGGAACGGGGCAGCCUCGAGGAGUCUGGGCGUUCUCAAGGCGAGGAGAGAUCUGUCGCUAGGCUGCGUCGCCUGGAUGCCCCGGGACGAGUUGAUCCACUGCCUUGUGCUGGUCGUUGAGGGAGAUAUUCCUGCUUGAGAUCUACCACGGCACGCUGCACGGCGCCAAUGGGUUUGGGGGUGAGUAGAGGUACUCGCAGCAUGACCCGGUCUUCGCCAAUCCUGACUGCGCUGGAGAACCAAAUACUGCUGUUUGUGUUGGACCUCCUGCUCGGGAUCGAACUCGGCCAUAUUGAGCAGUCGCCAUGGCCAUCCUCGAUGUGCGGCUCUUUUACCCCUUCAUGCCCACCGACACACUAACAGUUUGCUGCAGGGCUUCAUGUACUGGAUGGCCUCCACGGUGCUGAUGUCUUCUUUGUCUCGAUGAUGCCCCUCGGACUGUUCUUCUUGCCCCUGUUCCUGAGAGGAGUACUGCACCUGAGCCUGCGAGGGAGAAGAUGCGUACAUGUCCAACCGCAAGUUAAAAUGUCAUUUUGAGAGUUUGAUUUUAAAGAAGCUUCGACAUAUUCUAUGGCAGAGGCGCUCCCGUCGUCCCCCGCCAGGACGGUGGCACCCGAUCCUUUGCAUCUACGGCCGUCGUCGAGACGCGCAUGCCGUCCCCCGGGAUGGUGGCAGCCAGGUCCCACCUGCUGGUCCGCUUGUGGAGGGAUGGCCUGAUACUGUCGGCUGGUCCGAGUGUGGAGGGAUGCAGCCGUGCCGACAGCAUCCAUUGGCUCGGGCUUGCUUCCAGUUUCUCUCCCGUCCAUGUUUGAGUCGUCAAAGGACAAAGAGGCUAAGGUGAUUAGUGCAACUUUAGCUAAUAUAUAAAGACCACACAAGUUAAAGGUGAGAUGAAGUAUUCAGCUGACAGAGAGCAGUCUUCACAUGCGACACCAAAUGUGAAGCAGCGUGCAUAUCUCAUCAAACUUGAUAUUACUCUUGCAAUUAAUUCAAGACCAUCUCCUAUACUCCGUAGUUUCGCUACGCCAUUGAGCAGUGAGUAGAAUAUACAAUUCAUCUGAAUCUGUAGUCUUAUUGAUUCCAUGUCCUUUAAAAAAGUCCCCAGGUUGUUUCUUUUCUUGGUGGACUAUUCCUCAAUUGACAGACCAUACGCUGCAUCUUAUAGACUCUUUUCUGAACUGUUUAUCUUAAGUUGCUUUGUGGAAUGCUUGACAACAUACUUUUGUAGGUUGUGGUAGCAGCAGAGACAAGAAACUCCUUAGGUUGCAUGGUUAGGCAGCUGCCAAACGACCAGUUUGAAACCAAAGGAAGAAGGUUUAUCUAUGGCAGACCUGAAAAUACAAGAGCGGCUAGAACUAUUGGAUCAGCAAAUGCCUACUUUGCAAAAAUAAAGUUACCUGUGGAAAGCAGAACAUGCUAGAAUAAUGUAUUGUAGAUUUCAAGAAUCUUUAUGACACAUGGUUAUAUUCACUUUCAUAUUUGUGUGAUAUAAGUAACACUUCGUCACAGGAAAUUCUGUUUUUUCUAUUCUACUUUUAAGGGUAUUCUUUUGGUCUAAUUAAACAGGUAAUUGCAACUCUCUUGAAAUAGGUAAUUGCGAGUCUCUUAAACAGGUAAUUUGUCACGCGAAGGCAAAUUCUUCUUGGACUUUGGUGAGAUUGCAGAUCUAUGUAGUAGUGCAGAAAGAAUGUUUUCAACUGAACCAAUCAUCAUAAAGCUUAAAGGGUCCAUUAAGAUAUUUGGUGAUUUGCAUGGUGAAUUUGUCAUCUGAUGUGUUUGUUUCAUUAGUAUGGUUCUCCCUCAACAGCGGGAGAUACUGCGUGAGCAUCUUUUUGAUUUUUUAUUCUGAGGAUUUGCUGAUAUCAAAGGACUGCUUAAACA